UGGAAUUUGAAUGUUGUUGAUGUGUGU
rnacentral:piRNA from 1 species